AGAGGAUCAAGAUUUCAGAGAAAGUAUAGCACCUGAGGGGAUUAAAGGGGACACCGAAUCAGGAGAGAAGAAGAUUCUGCGACGUUGGCCAAACACGAAAAAGGAAUGAAUAUGAACGCGGCGGCAUGAAAAUUUCAAGGAAAUAUCAGAGCAUACGGGUAGGGUAACAUGUAUGAGACGGCCCAAAAAUGCUGAAAUCCAAUUAUAAAAGGUUCAUAAUAAGGUGCUGGUACGGCCCAGGUGAAAAAAAUCAUGCGCGAUGCAAAUAUCAAGAGG